rnacentral:misc_RNA from 1 species
AACUUUUAACAACGGAUCACUUGGCUCUCGCAUCGAUGAAGAACGCAGCGAAUUGCGAUAAGUAAUGUGAAUUGCAGAUUUUCAGUGAAUCAUCGAAGUUUUGAACGCACCUUGCGCUCCCUGGUAUUCCGGGGAGCACGCCUGUUCGGGUGUCGUGAAAUUCUCAAACCGGGAUGCUUUUUGUUGUUUCUCGGCUUGGUGUUGGGCUUUGCAGUUCCUUUGGUUGGGAUGGCUGGCCUAAAAAGCAUUAGCUGGCUUUUAAUGUGGCAUUGGUUCUACUCAGCGUGAUAAUGAUCUGACCGCCGAGGACAUCUUUCGAGAUGGCCAAUUCUCAUUUGGGCUGCUUAUAAUUUUGGUUGAGCAGAUUCUGAAUCUGCUCCACUUUUCAGCUUUUGACCUCGAAUCAGGUGGGACUACCCGCUGAACUUAAGCAUAUCAAUAAGCGGAGGCU